GAUACUUCUUUAUCGACUGUACAAUCAGUUUCCUCAGUGAUCUCAAGCACUGCAGUUGUCGUAACACAUUGUGUUGUAUUGUGUCGCAAUAAUAUCUUCAAAUUUCUUUUAAAAAAUACGAGAGUAACACAAACAUUGGUUUGCUAGCUCAAAGUUCGUUUAAAUACGGCCAAUUCAUAGAUUCUAUUGGUACGAAUGCCAUGUAAAAUCUCAAAGAAUCGCGUGUGCUGUUAACUGGUGGACGAUUUCGACCGAGAAAGUCUUACUUUCAGAGGCCUUCCGGUUUCUAUUUUCUGUACGGUAUAUUCACUUUUUUUCACAAUUUUAGUGUAAAUAUGCAUUAAGUGUGUACCGACUUGAAUCUAAAUUCUUGAAAAAUUCUUCUCUAUUUUUGGUAAUGGAUUAAAAACAACGUGUUUCAAUUGACAAUCUCAGGAAAUAUAAAAUCAUAAAAAGCGUGAAGAUGCCGAUGGAAUUCUUGGACCGACUUCCAAUCCCAAACCUCCGAGUAUACACGGCAAUCAGCUUCGCCGUCUUAUCCUGUUCGGUAUAUUAUGCUGUUCAGAUCAUUAAGGAUCCAGCAUGGAAAAGCAACCACACUUAUGUGGAGACUGAGAGUGAAUCGGCCAAUGACAUCGAA